ACAAAAGAUUUGAAAAGGUGGGGUUUAAGACUGGGAGGGGGAGAGAGGUUGAGGGGAAGAGUGUUAAAGGUUGUAAACGGGGUUUUUGUUUCUGGUGCCGACACGCGAGCAUGUAGCGCUGCGGCAGCAAGUCUGGGUUCAAAGGUCAGCGGCACACAACAUAUGGAACUGCCAGUCGAACGGAAACACACAGCUGACAACAACAGCAACCCUUUCAGAUCAGCACAACUUUUGAGUAGAAGAUUAAGAUUAGGGUGUGAAUUUCGGCUUGUCACGUCGACUAAGGGAGAGAAAUGCCAACAUGUUGGAAGUUGAACACGGUUGCCCUCCUCACUUUCGUUCAGAACCUCCACCAGCUCGGCGCAGUUUUCACACAUCGUUGGCGCAGAGGACGGCCCGAGUGCUCCGUGUCAAACCAUCGCUCCGGACGGGGGAAGGUGGCUGCCUGGCUGGGGGGGUGACUUCCAGGCUGCCCGUUGCUGCUUGGGCUCCAAAAAGGAGGAGAAGAAGAAGAAGGGCCCUUCCGCGGAGGCUACAGCGGUCGGUAGGCCGGCCGGGGCUUGGAGCUUCUUGUCGGCGGGACGGCGUCGGCGAGGAGGCGGUCGACGUUCGCAUCCGAGAGGCGGAGAAGGACAACUGACAGGCGGCCGAGCGAGGCCGAAGGAGGCCGCGUCACUUUGCAGGCGGCUGGACGUUAGUUGGGAGAGUAGACACGGCCGCCAUGUUUAAAAAAGGAGGGAGGGGCGGGGAGUUGAUGGUUGACGCAGCGUGCGCCGCUCUUCGGCCUUUUCCGGCUUUUUCCGGCCACCUCGUGCGCAGCCGUUCUGCUUUCUUUGGAGAUGUCGCGAGAUCCUACUGUAACGUCAGCGUUUCCCCAAAAUAUAAUUAAAAAUUGAAAUGAAAUUUACAAUUUCA